rnacentral:ncRNA from 2 species
AAAAGGGAAGUUUGUUAGAAUCAAACACAGUCCCCGCUACUGUAUUUGUAGAAUACAAGUUUUUAUUAGCCAUCUUUGUUUUUUCAAGGAGAAGGUAAACUUAGUUGUCACUACAUGAGUCAGGAAACCU